CUUUUGUUAGGGGAGAAACCUGUAUCAUUAAUAGUGGUACAGCUGACGGUACCUGACGAAUAAGCCACGGCAAACUCCGUGCCAGCAGCCGCGGUAAUACGGAGGUGGCAAGCGUUACUCGGAAUUAUUGGGUGUAAAGGGCAGGUAGGUGGUCUUGCAAGUGAGAGGUGAAAUCCCACGGUUCAAUCGUGGAACUGCCUUUCAAACUGCUUGACUUGAGAGUGUUAGGGGAGAAUGGAAUUCCCGGUGU
rnacentral:rRNA from 1 species